ensembl:lncRNA
AUGUAAUGAUUUCAAAUAGAUUUUCUAAAUGAAUGGCUAGCAGAGAAAUUCACAGUGCUGGAAGUCAGGUGGAAUAUUUCUGUUACUAUCACUUGCGGAGUUGGUACUGGAGUAACCAAAUCACACAGGUGAGCUGGACCAGGAAAUCUCUGUUCUCUCACCAGAUGACUCGUGGGGAGCUGUUGCUUGCAAUUCCUUGUAAAUGCUGGUCUCGCUGGAUCAGGGUGUGAUCCAGUGAGCCACCUGUCCUUAGGCGUUGCAGGUGUUAAGUUCAUCUUUGUCCAUCUCUGUGUUUAGCCACCCAUCACCAAAGCAUAUCAUAUCCCACUGGUUCAUCCAAUCACAGAAUCAUAUCAUCAUUAAGGUUGGAAAGACCACUAAGAUCAUCCAGUCCAACCAUCAACCCAUCCCACCAUGCCCAAAGCCCAUGUUCCUCAGUGCCACAUCUCCGCUGUUCUCAGCCACCUCCAGGGACAGUGACUCCUCCACCCCUCUUAAAGCCUUUCCCUCUUGUCCUAUCACAUUUAGAAGGGGAGACUUAUCAGGUGAGAUGUGCGGGGAGGAAUGCAAUGAUGUAGGCAGCUGGGAGAGUGUCCCCACGCCUGUGCUGCUGGAGCCAAGGCAGGGGAUGAGUUUGGCGUGGCCAAAUUUGAAUGGCGCGCAUUUUUGUUGGGACUUGUUGAGAGGCAGUUCGAGCUUAACUGGAAUCUCACCUCGGUUUCCUUGUGCUGGCUGCCAAAAUUUGCCAUUGUAAACAAGUUGUACAACCCUAGGACAAUUUCAGUAGAUAAAGUGGGACUCCUGCUCUCUUUUACAUCAUGAGGUGUUGUGAAUGAGAGCAGAACUGCGCAGAGCAGACUCAGGACACUUCCCUGGGGUGAUAGUAACUAUUCAAGAAGAACAGCUCUGUAAAGGACUACAAGGUUGAAGUUCAGGUAUUGCCUCACCUGCGCGACUUCCUUCCAAGUCAAGGGCUGUGCAAGAGUAACCAGAUUUUGGUAUUUAGCUAUGGUUACUCAUUAAAGGCGGGGAGGAGGAUGAGGAAGAAACGAUCGCAGAAUGAAACCUGCUUUUGCAAGUGUCACUGGAACGAGUUGCCAGGCAAGGCGACAGAUGUCAACUCCAGGGUUCUGCUUCUCUUGAUGCUCACACUUCCACCCUGGGGAAGAGAGCUGAGACCCACAACAGGCAUCAAAUGGAGAAUCCCAGUACUGACAGUGAGAAAAAUAGUUCUGCACAAAGGUGAAUCCAAAUCAAUCCUCUGCACAAAGGUGAAUCCAAAUCAAUCCUCAUGAGAGACUUGAGAUGGGCCUAGAGGGAAUCCAAGAUCUGAAGCCCCUCUGUGGAAUUCUUGGGUGCGUUGCGAUGCUCGUGUUUUCCUGGCACC